rnacentral:piRNA from 1 species
UGAACUCAUAGCAGCUUGGAUGUGGCCU